UGGGAUCUUAGCUCCCAGACCAGGAAUUGAACCUGCACCCGCUGCAUUGGAAGGCAAAGUCUUAACCCCUCGACCACCAGGCAAUUCCCCAGCAAACAUUUUCUGUGACCCUCUCUGUACCCAUGACCCCAGGGAACAUGAUCCCUGCUUCAUGAUGCUCAUGGUCUAUUGGUAGUGGGAGACCCAAAGUGCUUCAAGGGUGCAGAGCAUUGGGUUCCACUGGACCUGAAUGACCAGGACAGCUUCACCUUGAAUGGGACGUGAAGGAUGAGUAAGAUUUCAACAGGAAGAAAAAGGAGGGCAAGGAUAUUCUAGGAGGUAGACGGGUAUUACACAAGCGGAAGUGUUAAGGACCAAAAUCUGCUCCACACUCUCCACUUGAGAUCCCAAUGUUCUUUUUUUAAAAAAUAUUUAUUUAUUUAUUUGGGUGCCCUGGGUUUUAGUUGUGGCUCAUGGAAUUUUCGAUCUUCAUUGCGGCAUUCGGGAUCUUUAAUUGCAACAUCUGGGAUCUAGUUCCCUGAUCAGGGAUUGAACCCAGGCCUCCUACAUUUGAACACAGAGUCUUAGCCACUGAAUCACAAGGGAAGUCCUGGUUUUAAUAUUCUGAGUGCUCUGAUGCUAAUAUUAUACACAUCAUCAUUUUUUUCCUCCACCAGGAGAUCCUCAAACCAGAAAGGCAGUAUUGCGUCACCAUUAGCCUGUUGGUUACUGGCGAGGGGGCGUGAGGGCUGAAGGCUGGGUCAGGAGUAGGACUUGGAUCGGUUCAGUACAUGAGAGCCAUGUCGUUUCUGGCCAGAUCUGUGUCCACACAGUAACUGCUGCUGUAUUGCUGCCUAUAUGGAGGUCUCUUCUGCCUUCCUAUUCCCACUAUUAUCUUUCUCCCAUCUGCUUGGUGUGGUGUCUGAAAUCCAACCACUAGCUGUUCUUUAAAAGAGGUUUCUUUAUACAUGUGCAUGGGUUGGUGAAGGAGGCAGUGAAAACCACAAGUCAGUUACUCUAAGGAACGCAGGAGGGCUACCACUGUGCUUUCCUCCAGGCCAAGACCGACAGUCUUCCUUGACUGGAUGGCCUCCAAUCAGGAUUUGCCUUCAUCGCUCCACCAGAGUGGCUCCUGUCAAGGCCAUCAGGACCAAGACAAUAGUCAGUGCUGAUCCUCCCACACUUGGCGUUGCAGCCUGGCCACCACCAGCCACUCCUCCUCCUCGAAACACUUUCUCCACUUGGCUUCCAGGAUGGACCAGGUCUCCCUCCUAUUCUCUGGCUGUUCCUUCUCGGUUUCCUUGAUUGGGUCCCCUUCCUGUCCUUGACUUCUAGGAGGGCCCCAGGGCUCCAAUUGUUAGCAUGGUCCUCUCUCUUUUCUCUCUACCCUCAACUCACCUCCUAGGUGAUCUCCUCCUGGCUCAUUUGGUACCGUCCACAUGCAGACACCACUG